UCGGGGCUGUAGACGGUGACGUUGGCGGCCCGCGCCAUCGCCUUCGCCUCCGCCUGCAUGUCGCCCGCGCGGUCUGCAACGGAUGUGGAGGGAGAGGCGGAGGUGAGUUGGAUCGCGUACUCUCCGUCGCCGCCGCUACCCGGAGCCGCCACGGGCCGCGCCUGCACGAGGGCGGCGCGGGGGAGGAGAAGACGGCGGGGAGGGACGGAGGACCUCGGCGGUGAGGGGCGGAGCCGCGGCGGCGGCGAGAUAGUGAGGGCGGCCGCCAUCGCCACAGAUGAUUCGCUUGGCGGGGAGGGGGCUGCGUGUGCAAGUAGCGGAGCGAGCUCUGGUCGUUGUGGCCACUGGUUGUGGGGCGCGG
rnacentral:misc_RNA from 1 species